CGGCGUGCCUAACGCAUGCAAGUCGAGCGAGAUUCGGAGGAGCUGCUCCACGGGAUUCAGCGGCGGACGGGUGAGUAACGCGUGAGCAACCUGCCUUCAACAGGGGGAUAACGCAUCGAAAGAUGUGCUAAUACCGCAUGAGACCACAACAUCACAUGGUGAAGGGGUCAAAGGAGCAAUCCGGUUGAAGAUGGGCUCGCGUCCGAUUAGCUGGUUGGUGAGACAACAGCCCACCAAGGCGACGAUCGGUAGCCGACCUGAGAGGGUGAUCGGCCACAUUGGAACUGAGAUACGGUCCAGACUCCUACGGGAGGCAGUAGUGGGGAAUAUUGGGCAAUGGGCGAAAGCCCUGACCCAGCAACGCCGCGUGAGGGAAGAAGGGUUUCGGCUCGUAAACCUCUGUCCUGUGGGACGAAGGAAGUGACGGUACCACAGGAGGAAGCCCCGGCUAACUACGUGCCAGCAGCUGC
rnacentral:rRNA from 1 species